rnacentral:rRNA from 1 species
CCGACGGUGAGAGAUGAAAGCUGGGGGAGCAAACCGGAUUAGAUACCCGGGUAGUCCCAGCUGUAAACGAUGCAAACUAGGUGAUGCGUUGGCUUGUUGCUAGCGCAGUGCCUCAGGGAAGCCGUUAAGUUUGCCGCCUGGGAAGUACGUACGCAAGUAUGAAACUUAAAGGAAUUGGCGGGGGAGCACCACAAGGGGUGAAGCCUGCGGUUCAAUUGGAGUCAACGCCUGAAACCUUACCCGGAGAGACAGCAGAAUGAAGGUCAAGCUGAAGACUUUACCAGACAAGCUGAGAGGUGGUGCAUGGCCGUCGCCAGCUCGUGCCGUGAGAUGUCCUGUUAAGUCAGGUAACGAGCGAGAUCCCUGCCUCUAGUUGCCACUAUUACACCCUGGUGUAGUAGGGCGAAUUAGGGGGACCGCCGCAGUUAAUGCGGAGGAAGGAAGGGGCCACGGCAGGUCAGUAUGCCCCGAAACUCUGGGGCCACACGCGGGCUGCAAUGGUAGCGACAAUGAGUUUCAAAAUCGAAAGAUGGAGGCAAUCUCUAAACGUUACCACAGUUAUGAUUGAGGGCUGCAACUCGCCCUCAUGAAUAUGGAAUCCCUAGUAACCGCGUGUCAUUAUCGCGCAGUGAAUACGUCCCUGCUCCUUGCACACACCGCCCGU